AAGUUUUCGCUGGGCAGCUGAGAAGGUCGCUGUCAAGAUGGAGUUUCCAACCCAGUAAAUCCAAGGACCAGACCGUGACCUCAUAAAGCAUGAUCUCCUUCUGUCCAGACUGUGGCAAAAGUAUCCAAGCAGCAUUCAAAUUCUGCCCCUACUGUGGAAAUUCUUUGCCUAUAGAGGAGCAUGCAGGGUCCCAGACCUUUGUCAAUCCACAUGUGUUAUCCUUCCAAGGCUCAAAGAGAGGGCUGAACUCCAGUUUUGAAACCUCUCCUAAGAAAGUGAGAUGGUCCAGCACCGUCACCUCUCCCCAGUUAUCCCUCUUCUCAGAUGGUGACAGUUCUGAGUCUGAAGAUACUCUGAGUUCCUCUGAGAGAUCCAAAGGCGCCGGGAGCAGACCCCCAACCCCCAAAAGCAGCCCUCAGAAGACCAGCAAGAGCCCUCAGGUGACCAGGGGCAGUCCUCAGAAGACCGCAGCCCUCAGAAGACCAGGCAGAGCCCUCAGACACUGAAGCGGAGCCGAAUGACCACCUCACUUGAAGCUUUGCCCACAGGGACAGUGCUGACAGACAAGAGUGGGCGACAGUGGAAGCUGAAGUCCCUCCAGACCAGGGACAACCAGGGCAUUCUCUAUGAAGCUGCACCCACCUCCGCCCUCGCCUGUGACUCAGGACCCCAGAAGCAAAAGUUCUCGCUCAAACUGUCAACAAGUGGAAGAAGCUGUACUCGACCCCGCUACUGGCCAUCCCUACCUGCAUGGGUUUUGGCGUUCACCAGGACAAAUACAGGUUCUUGGUGUUACCCAGCCUGGGGAGGAGCCUUCAGUCAGCCCUGGAUGUCAGUCCAAAGCAUGUGCUGUCAGAGAGGUCUGUGCUGCAGGUGGCCUGCCGGCUGCUGGAUGCCCUGGAGUUCCUCCAUGAGAAUGAGUAUGUUCAUGGAAAUGUGACAGCUGAAAAUAUCUUUGUGGAUCCAGAGGACCGGAGUCAGGUGACUUUGGCAGGCUAUGGCUUCGCCUUCCGCUAUUGCCCAAGUGGCAAACACGUGGCCUACGUGGAAGGCAGCA
rnacentral:sRNA from 1 species